CACGGGGGGAGCAAGCGUUGUUCGGAAUUACUGGGCGUAAAGCGUGCGUAGGUGGUUUGUUAAGUCUGAUGUGAAAGCCCUGGGCUCAACCUGGGAAUUGCACUGGAUACUGGCAGGCUAGAGUGCGGUAGAGGAUGGCGGAAUUCCCGGUGUAGCAGUGAAAUGCGUAGAGAUCGGGAGGAACAUCUGUGGCGAAGGCGGCCAUCUGGACCAGCACUGACACUGAGGCACGAAAGCGUGGGGAGCAAACAGG
rnacentral:rRNA from 1 species